AUACGGAGGGUGCGAGCGUUAAUCGGAAUUACUGGGCGUAAAGGGUCCGUAGGCGGUCUGCUUAGUCUGAUGUGAAAGCCCCGGGCUUAACCUGGGAAUGGCAUUGGAUACUGGCGGACUAGAGUCUGGUAGAGGGUGGUGGAAUUCCCGGUGUAGCGGCGAAAUGCGUAGAUAUCGGGAGGAACACCAGUGGCGAAGGCGGCCACCUGGACCAAGACUGACGCUGAGGGACGAAAGCGUGGGGAGCAAACAGGAUUAGAAACCCUAGUAGUCC
rnacentral:rRNA from 1 species